rnacentral:rRNA from 1 species
GUAGGUGGCAAGCGCUGUCCGGAAUUAUUGGGCGUAAAGCGCGCGCAGGUGGUUCUUUAAGUCUGAUGUGAAAGCCCCCGGCUCAACCGGGGAGGGUCAUUGGAAACUGGGGAACUUGAGUGCAGGAGAGGAAAGUGGAAUUCCACGUGUAGCGGUGAAAUGCGUAGAUAUGUGGAGGAACACCAGUGGCGAAGGCGACUUUCUGGCCUGUAACUGACACUGAGGCGCGAAAGCGUGGGGAGCAAACAGGGAUUAGAUACCCUGGAAGUCCACGCCGUAAACGAUGAGUGCUAAGUGUUGGGGGGGUUUCCGCCCCCUCAGUGCUGCAGCUAACGCAUUAAGCACUCCGCCUGGGAGUACGGUCGCAAGACUG